rnacentral:misc_RNA from 1 species
GUAGGUGAACCUGCGGAAGGAUCAUUAACAAUAUUGGGAGUGGGGGGUUUGGGAUAUAUGAUGUGUGUGUUAUUUAUUAAUAUCACAAUAUAUAUGCUGCCCAUCCAUCAUCAACCUUUGUGAAUUGGGCCGGGGAGAAAUGUUGAAAGACAUGUACACCCCGGCUUAGUCGGGAAAUGGAUUAUAAAUGUGUAAAAAGUUGUGAGCCAGGGGGAUUAGUCAAGUUGAAUAAACUUGUUCUCUUCCGUCC